rnacentral:pre_miRNA from 1 species
UGGGUCAUUUCUUCAUCCGGCAAAGCGACUUGUAACAUUGUUCACAAAAUGUACAUAUCUCUCUAAUAGUCGAGAGAUAUGUACAUUUUGUGAACAAUGUUACAAGUCGCUUUGCCGGAUGAAGAAAUGACCCA